rnacentral:rRNA from 1 species
UACGGGGGGGGCAAGCGUUGUUCGGAAUUACUGGGCGUAAAGGGCUCGUAGGCGGCCAACUAAGUCGGACGUGAAAUCCCUCGGCUUAACCGGGGAACUGCGUCCGAUACUGGAUGGCUUGAGUGUGGGAGAGGGAUGCGGAAUUCCAGGUGUAGCGGUGAAAUGCGUAGAUAUCUGGAGGAACACCGGGUGGCGAAGGCGGCAUCCUGGACCACGACUGACGCUGAGUGAGCGAAAGCCAGGGGAGCAAACGGG